rnacentral:rRNA from 1 species
GACGAACGCUGGCGGCGUGCUUAACACAUGCAAGUCGAACGGAAAGGCCCUGCUUGCAGGGUACUCGAGUGGCGAACGGGUGAGUAACACGUGGGUGAUCUGCCCUGCACUCCGGGAUAAGCCUGGGAAACUGGGUCUAAUACCGGAUAGGAGCCAUUUUUAGUGUGAUGGUUGGAAAGUUUUUUCGGUGUAGGAUGUGCUCGCGGCCUAUCAGCUUGUUGGUGGGGUAAUGGCCUACCAAGGCGGCGACGGGUAGCCGGCCUGAGAGGGUGGACGGCCACAUUGGGACUGAGAUACGGCCCAGACUCCUACGGGAGGCAGCAGUGGGGAAUAUUGCACAAUGGGCGCAAGCCUGAUGCAGCGACGCCGCGUGGGGGAUGACGGCCUUCGGGUUGUAAACUCCUUUCGCUAGGGACGAAGCUUUUUGUGACGGUACCUAGAUAAGAAGCACCGGCUAACUACGUG